GUUAAGGUGGCAGAGUAGUGCACUAAAUUUAAGUUUUAGGAAAGAACAUAAAGUUUUCUUAACU
rnacentral:tRNA from 1 species